UGUGUUUGCAACAGAAGUUAGCAAAUGGCUAAGGCGAACAUCGUCCAGCCGGCUGGUGAUAAACUUACAUUUAAUCAUGAUGAAUAUAAAUAAACUAGCUGGGUUACUUGGCAGGGUGUUGACCCUUUGCAUGUGACGUCACGCUUUCCAGAGCUCCGCCCACUCCACCAUGGCGGAAGCUAAACAACCAAUGUGCUCCUUUAAAGCUAGUCUAAACACAGACGUCUAUAACCUAAUGUAGCUUUUAUUUAGUUUAUUUCACCUUAGAAAUGGUCAUAGUAUGCAGUGCGGUCAGCUGCACAAACAGACAAGGAUGCAAACCAAACUUGUCAUUUUAUUUUAUAACUUUUAUUGAGGAAAGAUGCGGCGGUGACGGACAGCAGCCCUCUGUGUGAACACGGAUUUGCAGCAAACCUUUUUACAAGCAAACGCAGGAAUCCAGAGUCACCUGAACCUGCUAGAGUGUCCGGUGUCGAACAUGAGGAACCGUCGCUUGGCUGAUCAGCAGAAACAGAAGUAAUCGCAGCCGUCAGACCAUAAAAAGAUUCACCCAAACUGCAGACUCAGAUAUUCUGUCUGCACUGACCGACCGCCGGCUCUGAACCGUCCCGUCACCGGCGCGUCCUCAGCUCACAGUCGGCCUGGCGGAUUGGACGUGGCAGGCGUCCGCUGUCCCCAGCCACAACAGAGACGCAGGCAGAGAGAGAGAAAGCGGCAGACCAGGAGUCAGCAGCGCGAGGCGCAAGGCAAGCCGGGACCAAGUCUGAACUCCAGACGACCCCAAAACGCCGGAGGGUCAGAGCCGAGACAGCAUCAGCCGACACCACAGAGCAUGACUGGACGGGACACUGGUCAGACUGGAUUCACUGGGUCCAUCACUGGUCAGACUGGAUUCACUGGGUUCAUCACUGGUCAGACUGGAUUCACUGGGUUCAUCACUGGGUUCAUCACUGGGUUCACUGGGCCAGUUUAACGGCUGAGAUGUUUUGCUUCAGGUCUUUACUAAAGGCAGGUUUAUGUAUCUGGGUCUGUAGACUGGCCUCAUCUCAGUAUUAAAAUUUAUUUCCAUCUUUAAUUAAUCCAUGGAGAUUGCAGAUUUUUUAAAAUGGCAUUUUUAAUU